GUGCUGGCUUCAGCAGCAUAUAUACUAAAAUUGGAAUGAUACAGAGAAAAAUGACAUGGGCCCAACAUAAGGAUGACAUCUAAAUUCAUGAAGUGUUCCAUAUUAAA
ensembl:snRNA U6 U6 spliceosomal RNA